rnacentral:rRNA from 1 species
AUACGGAGGAUGCAAGCGUUAUCCGGAUUUAUUGGGUUUAAAGGGUGCGUAGGCGGUUUGCUAAGCGGGAGGUGAAAUGCCGGCGCUCAACGUCGGAAGUGCCUCCCGAACUGGUGGACUGGAAUGACUCUGCCGUGGGAGGAAUGUGUAGUGUAGCGGUGAAAUGCUUAGAGAUUACACAGAACACCGAUUGCGAAGGCAUCUCACGAAGGGUUGAUUGACGCUGAGGCACGAAAGCGUGGGGAUCAAACAGGAUUAGAUACCCUGGUAGUCCACGCAGUAAACGAUGAUGGCUAACCGCUGGUUUAUUCGGAUCAGUGGCCAAGCGAAAGCGAUAAGCCAUCCACCUGGGGAGUACGACCGCAAGGUUGAAACUCAAAGGAAUUGACGGGG